GCACAUGCGUUGCAACCACGCAGCGCUCCACCCUUUGCAAAUCGAUCGAUUCAGCAGCAUCAUCAUCGGACGCAAGCUGCCUGGCAUAUACUCUCUGUACCAGUUCUCUUCAACUAUAAUUAGACUAUAAUUUGGUAGUAUGUAUGUGUAUUUGGUAGUACUAUAGUGUUUAAUUUGGUAAAGUAUUUGGGGCUUCUUAUCCUUCAAGACAUACACACCAUAUAUAUUAAUAUGAGUCACGCUUCGAUAUAAUCCCCCUCACAAUACGUACAAAGGAUAAUAUAGUCUUUUCGUAAGGUAUUCUCAAUUUACAUGUAUAAUACCCACUACAGUACCGACCGUAGCAAUAUAGUAAGACAGCGAUCUGAUGGAUUCGAACUCUGAACCUCUAGGUUACAGAGGAUAAUUGCUAACCAGUCGACCUGAUGACUUGGACGC
rnacentral:lncRNA from 1 species